GACGAACGCUGGCGGCGUGCUUAACACAUGCAAGUCGAGCGGUAAGGCCUUUCGGGGUACACGAGCGGCGAACGGGUGAGUAACACGUGGGUGACCUGCCCUCCACUUCGGGAUAAGCCUGGGGAAACUGGGUCUAAUACGGGAUGGGACCAUUCCAUGCAUGUGGGAUGGUGGAAAGUCGGUGCUGUUGUGGUGCUGGCGGUGGGGAGUGGGCCCGGCGGUCUAUCAGCUUGUUGGNGGGGUGGAUGG
rnacentral:rRNA from 1 species